rnacentral:rRNA from 1 species
UGGGGAAUAUUGCGCAAUGGGGGAAACCCUGACGCAGCAACGCCGCGUGAGUGACGAAGGCCUUCGGGUCGUAAAGCUCUGUCGGAGGGGAAGAAACUAUCCGGCGCUAAUAUCGCCGGGUAUUGACGGUACCCUCAAAGGAAGCACCGGCUAACUCCGUGCCAGCAGCCGCGGUAAUACGGAGGGUGCGAGCGUUGUUCGGAAUUACUGGGCGUAAAGCGCGUGUAGGCGGCUUAUUACGUCAGGUGUGAAAGCCCUCGGCCUAACCGAGGAAGUGCGCCUGAAACUGAUAAGCUUGAGUACGAGAGAGGAGGACGGAAUUCCCAGUGUAGAGGUGAAAUUCGUAGAUAUUGGGAGGAACACCGGCGGCGAAAGCGGUUCUCUGGAUCGAUACUGACGCUAAGACGCGAAAGCGUGGGGAGCAAACAG